rnacentral:tmRNA from 1 species
CUAAGUAUGUAGAACUUGUUGUAGCGUGUUUGCGGACGCGGGUUCGAUUCCCGCCGACUCCACCA